AAUGAACGCUGGCGGCAUGCCUUACACAUGCAAGUCGAACGGCAGCAUGACCUAGCUUGCUAGGUUGAUGGCGAGUGGCGAACGGGUGAGUAAUGCAUCGGAACGUGCCUUUUAGUGGGGGAUAACGUAGCGAAAGUUACGCUAAUACCGCAUAUUCUCUGAGGAGGAAAGCAGGGGACCUUCGGGCCUUGCGCUAGAAGAGCGGCCGAUGUCGGAUUAGCUAGUUGGUGAGGUAAAGGCUCACCAAGGCAACGAUCCGUAGCGGGUCUGAGAGGAUGAUCCGUCACACUGGGACUGAGACACGGCCCAGACUCCUACGGGAGGCAGCAGUGGGGAAUUUUGGACAAUGGGCGCAAGCCUGAUCCAGCCAUGCCGCGUGAGUGAAGAAGGCCUUCGGGUUGUAAAGCUCUUUCGGCUGGGAAGAAAUCGCACCCUCUAAUACAGGGUGUGGAUGACGGUACCAGCAUAAGAAGCACCGGCUAACUACGUG
rnacentral:rRNA from 1 species